ensembl:Y_RNA Y_RNA Y RNA
GGUUGGUCCAAAGGUAGUCAGUUACCUUAAUAGAUUGUUCACAGUCAGUUACAAAUGGAACACCUUGUUCUACUACUGUACUUGACUAGUCUUUA